AAUCAACGCUGGCGGCGUGCCUAACACAUGCAAGUCGAACGCGAAAGCCCCUUCGGGGGUAAGUAGAGUGGCGUCCGGGUGAGUAACACGUAGGUAAUCUACCUUCGGGUGGGGAAUAACCAGUCGAAAGAUUGGCUAAUACCGCAUAAUGCAGCGGCACCUAAUGGUGAUUAGUUGUUAAAGCGGGGGAUCGUAAGACCUCGCGCCUGAAGAGGAGCCUGCGGCAGAUUAGCUAGUUGGGAGGUAAUGGCUCACCAAGGCUUCGAUCUGUAGCUGGUCUGAGAGGACGGCCAGCCACACUGGCACUGACACACGGGCCAGACUCCUACGGGAGGCAGCAGUGGGGAAUUUUGGGCAAUGGGCGAAAGCCUGACCCAGCAACGCCGCGUGAGGGGAGGAAAUCCGUUCGGGAUGUAAACCCUCACAAGCAAGGGAAGAGAGCUCAGGGCCGAAUAAGCUUUGAGUCCGACGGUACCUUGCGUAAGCCAC
rnacentral:rRNA from 1 species